UUUUAUCUUUUGAGGAGAAUAAUGGGGGU
rnacentral:piRNA from 1 species